GACGAACGCUGGCGGCGUGCCUAAUACAUGCAAGUAGAACGCACAGUUUAUACCGUAGCUUGCUACACCAUAAACUGUGAGUUGCGAACGGGUGAGUAACGCGUAGGUAACCUGCCUGGUAGCGGGGGAUAACUAUUGGAAACGAUAGCUAAUACCGCAUAAUAUUGAUUAUUGCAUGAUAAUUGAUUGAAAGAUGCUAUUGCAUCCCUACCAGAUGGACCUGCGUUUUAUUAGCUAGUAGGGGAGGUAACGGCUCACCUAGGCGACGAUACAUAGCCGACCUGAGGGGGUGAUCGGCCACACUGGGACUGAGACAAGGCCCAGAAUCCUACGGGAGGGAGCAGUAGGGAAGCUUCGGCAAAGGACGAAAGUCUGACCGAGCAACGCCGCGUGAGUGAAGAAGGUUUUCGGAUCGGAAAGCUCUGUUGUAAGAGAAGAACGGGUGUGAGAGUGGAAAGUUCACACUGUGACGUUAUCUUACCAGAAAGGGACGGCUAACUACGUG
rnacentral:rRNA from 1 species